rnacentral:rRNA from 1 species
GCUAUCUGCAGUCGAGCGGACGACGGGAGCUUGCUCCCUUAGGUCAGCGGCGGACGGGUGAGUAACACGUGGGUAACCUGCCUGUAAGACUGGGAUAACUCCGGGAAACCGGGGCUAAUACCGGAUGCUUGAUUGAACCGCAUGGUUCAAUCAUAAAAGGUGGCUUUUAGCUACCACUUACAGAUGGACCCGCGGCGCAUUAGCUAGUUGGUGAGGUAACGGCUCACCAAGGCGACGAUGCGUAGCCGACCUGAGAGGGUGAUCGGCCACACUGGGACUGAGACACGGCCCAGACUCCUACGGGAGGCAGCAGUAGGGAAUCUUCCGCAAUGGACGAAAGUCUGACGGAGCAACGCCGCGUGAGUGAUGAAGGUUUUCGGAUCGUAAAACUCUGUUGUUAGGGAAGAACAAGUACCGUUCGAAUAGGGCGGCACCUUGACGGUACCUAACCAGAAAGCCACGGCUAACUACGUGCCAGCAGCCGCGGUAAUACGUAGGUGGCAAGCGUUGUCCGGAAUUAUUGGGCGUAAAGCGCGCGCAGGCGGUUUCUUAAGUCUGAUGUGAAAGCCCCCGGCUCAACCGGGGAGGGUCAUUGGAAACUGGGGAACUUGAGUGCAGAAGAGGAGAGUGGAAUUCCACGUGUAGCGGUGAAAUGCGUAGAGAUGUGGAGGAACACCAGUGGCGAAGGCGACUCUCUGGUCUGUAACUGACGCUGAGGCGCGAAAGCGUGGGGAGCGAACAGGAUUAGAUACCCUGGUAGUCCACGCCGUAAACGAUGAGUGCUAAGUGUUAGAGGGUUUCCGCCCUUUAGUGCUGCAGCAAACGCAUUAAGCACUCCGCCUGGGGAGUACGGUCGCAAGACUGAAACUCAAAGGAAUUGACGGGGGCCCGCACAAGCGGUGGAGCAUGUGGUUUA